rnacentral:rRNA from 1 species
UGGGGGAUAUUGCGGCAAUGGGGGGAAACCCUGACGCAGCAACGCCGCGUGAAGGAAGAAGGUUUUCGGAUUGUAAACUUCUGUUCUUAGGGAAGAAGAAAGUGACGGUACCUAAGGAGCAAGCCACGGCUAACUACGUGCCAGCAGCCGCGGUAAUACGUAGGUGGCAAGCGUUGUCCGGAUUUACUGGGUGUAAAGGGCGCGUAGGCGGGAUAUCAAGUUAGUCGUGAAAUACCGGGGCUCAACCCCGGGGCUGCGAUUAAAACUGAUAUUCUUGAGUAUCGGAGAGGAAAGCGGAAUUCCUAGUGUAGCGGUGAAAUGCGUAGAUAUUAGGAGGAACACCAGUGGCGAAGGCGGCUUUCUGGACGACAACUGACGCUGAGGCGCGAAAGUGUGGGGAGCAAACAGGAUUAGAUACCCUGGUAGU